rnacentral:rRNA from 1 species
UCCUCCCUCUUUCUUCGUGCUUAACACAUGCAAGUCGAACGGAAAGGCCCUGCUUUUGUGGGGUGCUCGAGUGGCGAACGGGUGAGUAACACGUGAGUAACCUGCCCUUGACUUUGGGAUAACUUCAGGAAACUGGGGCUAAUACCGGAUAGGAGCUCCUGCUGCAUGGUGGGGGUUGGAAAGUUUCGGCGGUUGGGGAUGGACUCGCGGCUUAUCAGCUUGUUGGUGGGGUAGGGGCUUACCAAGGCUUUGCCGGGUAGCCGGCCUGAGAGGGUGACCGGCCACAUUGGGACUGAGAUACGGCCCAGACUCCUACGGGAGGCAGCAGUGGGGAAUAUUGCACAAUGGGCGGAAGCCUGAUGCAGCAACGCCGCGUGCGGGAUGACGGCCUUCGGGUUGUAAACCGCUUUCGCCUGUGACGAAGCGUGAGUGACGGUAAUGGGUAAAGAAGCACCGGCUAACUACGUG